CUAUCUUCAAAUUUUUUUAUUUGUUCUUAAAUUAGAAGUAAGAAAGAUAUUUUGAUUUAUUUUUAACUUUAUUAGAAAUUUAAUUUGAACUUAAUUCUAGAUAAUUUAAUCGAUAUUAACGCUAGACGUGAGCAGUAUAUUUGAAAUAAAAGGGGCAAUUAUUUAUAUACUCCUGAAAAAUUUUUGAUUUUCUAAUUUAUCCUUCUUAGAAGGAUAAUAAUGAAAAUACUUUUUUUACAUUCUAAUCUAUUUCAAAUAUACAUUUUUAGAGUUAAAAUUGGUUAAAUAUAUAUUUUUAGAGUUAAAAUCGAUUAACGAACUAUUAACAAUAACUGUUAUUUUUAUGAAAUUACUAUUUUGCCUUUUCAAAUAUACCUUUUAUUAUUACCAACUUUUCUUAUUUGACUUUUAAGUUAGGGGCACAAAAGUAUUUUGCUUUUUAGUUUUUUCAAGUAUACCAUUCUACCAUCAUCAAUAUUUCUUAUUUACUCUUAAGUUAAGGGUAAUGGUGGCAUUUUGAUUUUUUUAACUCUGAAAAAUAUUUAACUCAUAUUUAAUCCAAGUUAAUUUAUCAGGUGAUAGCAGCACGAAUAUUUUGGAAUAGCAAAGUAAUAUAUUAGAGGUAUAUUGGAAAAAAAAAUAUUUUAAAAUUUUGAGAAAUAUAUAAGUAAUUAUCUCAAAUAAAAAGUAAUAAGGUUGUGUAAAAUAUUUUAGAAAUUUUUAGGGAUAUAUAGUUAAUUAUCUCAAAAAAAAAGGGGGGAAAUUUCAAAAACGCCUCUUGUGGUUUCAUACUUAUCACUUUAGUACUCUAUAGUUUAAAAUGUAUCAAGUAAGUACCCUAUGGUUUUUCACUUUAUCACUUUAGUACACUGUGGUUUAAAGUGUAUCAAGUUAGUACCCUGUGGUUUUGCACUUUAUCACUUUAGUAUCAUGUGGUUUCUCACUUUAUCAUUUUAGUACCCUCUGGUUUAAAAAUCACAGGGUACUAACUCGAUACAAUAUUAAAACCACAGGGUACUAAAGUGAUAAAAUGCAAAACCACAGGGUACUAACUUGAUAUGCUUUAAACUAUAUAGUACUAAAGUGAUAAAGUAAAAAACCAUAUGGUACUAAUUUGAUACAUUUUAAAUUAUAGGGUAUUAAAGUGAUAACUUAUGAAACGACAUAGGGGUUUUUGAAGUUUUCCAAACAAAAAAAAAAAAAAAAA
rnacentral:lncRNA from 1 species